GUACACUCCUGCGGGAGGCAGCAGUGGGGAAUUUUGGACAAUGGGCGAAAGCCUGAUCCAGCAAUGCCGCGUGAGUGAAGAAGGCCUUCGGGUUGUAAAGCUCUUUUGUCAGGGAAGAAACGGUGAGAGCUAAUAUCUCUUGCUAAUGACGGUACCUGAAGAAUAAGCACCGGCUAACUACGUGCCAGCAGCCGCGGUAAUACGUAGGGUGCAAGCGUUAAUCGGAAUUACUGGGCGUAAAGCGUGCGCAGGCGGUUUUGUAAGUCUGAUGUGAAAUCCCCGGGCUCAACCUGGGAAUUGCAUUGGAGACUGCAAGGCUAGAAUCUGGCAGAGGGGGGUAGAAUUCCACGUGUAGCAGUGAAAUGCGUAGAUAUGUGGAGGAACACCGAUGGCGAAGGCAGCCCCCUGGGUCAAGAUUGACGCUCAUGCACGAAAGCGUGGGGAGCAAACAGGAUUAGAUACCCCGGUAGUCCCAUG
rnacentral:rRNA from 1 species